GCAGCAGUGGGGAAUAUUGGACAAUGGGGGGAACCCUGAUCCAGCCAUGCCGCGUGUGUGAAGAAGGCCUUAUGGUUGUAAAGCACUUUAAGCGAGGAGGAGGCUCUCUUGGUUAAUACCCAAGAAGAGUGGACGUUACUCGCAGAAUAAGCACCGGCUAACUCUGUGCCAGCAGCCGCGGUAAUACAGAGGGUGCGAGCGUUAAUCGGAUUUACUGGGCGUAAAGCGUGUGUAGGCGGCUUUUUAAGUCGGAUGUGAAAUCCCCGAGCUUAACUUGGGAAUUGCAUUCGAUACUGGGAAGCUAGAGUAUGGGAGAGGAUGGUAGAAUUCCAGGUGUAGCGGUGAAAUGCGUAGAGAUCUGGAGGAAUACCGAUGGCGAAGGCAGCCAUCUGGCCUAAUACUGACGCUGAGGUACGAAAGCAUGGGGAGCAAACAGGAUUAGAUACCCUGGUAGUCCAUGCCGUAAACGAUGUCUACUAGCCGUUGGGGCCUUUGAGGCUUUAGUGGCGCAGCUAACGCGAUAAGUAGACCGCCUGGGGAGUACGGUCGCAAGACUAAAACUCAAAGGAAUUGACGG
rnacentral:rRNA from 1 species